UCCGUAGGUGAACCUGCGGAAGGAUCAUUAUUGAAUAAACCUGAUGUGGUUGUUGCUGGCUCUCUAGGGAGCAUGUGCACACCCGUCAUCUUUAUAUUUCCACCUGUGCACCUUUUGUAGACCCAGAGGACUUGAGCAAUCGAGUCGUUUGGGCCUAUGUCUUAUCAUAUACCCCAUAGUAUGUAUUAGAAUGUAUCAGUGGGCUUCGUGCCUAUAAACACUAUACAACUUUCAGCAACGGAUCUCUUGGCUCUCGCAUCGAUGAAGAACGCAGCGAAAUGCGAUAAGUAAUGUGAAUUGCAGAAUUCAGUGAAUCAUCGAAUCUUUGAACGCACCUUGCGCUCCUUGGUAUUCCGAGGAGCAUGCCUGUUUGAGUGUCAUUAAAUUCUCAACCUCUCUAGUUUUUAUUAACUAGUAGAUGGCUUGGAUUUGGAGGUUUUUUGCAGGCUUUCACAAGUCAGCUCCUCUUAAAUGUAUUAGCCGGUGCCCUCUAACCGUCUAUUGGUGUGAUAAUUAUCUACGCCGGUGGGACUAUUAGGACUUGGGGUUGGCAUUGGCUUCUAAUCGGUCCUGGUAUGGGGGACAAUAUAUUGGACAUUUUGGACCUCAAAUCAGGGGUAGGGGGACUACCCGGCUGAACUUAA
rnacentral:rRNA from 1 species